CAUCAGAGCAUUUCGUGGCGCUCCAGAGCCUGCUGAAGUUGACGAUCAGAAAUUAUCCUCGUGACACUAUCAUUAUCAGCCACACCUAUAAUGCCCUCUCCAGUCUACAUCUCUCUAGUAUGCGUUUGCUCAGUCCACUCCUGAACGCUUUGACUUCGUUGUUCACACGAGUGUGCCAACAAGAACACCUGGCACCCAGUAUGUGCUGAGGAAAUAGCUAUGAAGUGUCUUAGUGUAACAGAACUGUGACUAGAAACCAAGAGUUUUCAUUAUCAGUUUCCCCCUUCAUUGUGGUUGAUUUGAGUUGUUCCUUCUCCAUGCCUGCUUGUCUUGGGACAUUUUGUUUUCUUUGAUAAGCCCUUCAAAAACAUAAUAUAUAACAUAAAUACUGAGAAAGCAGAAAUCAUGAGUGCUUCUCUGGGUGACUGCACACUCACGUAGCCAACACCAGAUCACAAACUGAGACA
rnacentral:lncRNA from 1 species